UUAUAAAAAUUUAAAAUUAAUUACUAAAAAAUUAAUAGUUAAGUUCUUUAAAUUUAAAAAAUUUGGCGGUAUUUUAGUCUUAUUAGAGGAACCUGUUUUUUUAUUGAUAUUCCACGAUUAAUUUUACUAAUUUUAAAAAUUCAUAUAUCGCUGUCAUGAAUAUAUUUAAAAAUUAUUUUCUUUAAUUAUUUUAAUAAUUUAUGUUAAGUCAAGAUGUGGUUUAUAAAUAAGUUAAUAAUGGGUUACAAUAAAUUUAAUUUUUGGAUUUUAAAUGAAAAUAUUUAAUAAAAUUGGAUUUAAUAGUAAUUUUAAUUAUUUUAUUAAUAUGAAUAAAGAUCUAAAAUAUGUACAUAUUGCCCGUCAUUCUUAUUAAAAAUAAGACAAGUCGUAACAAAGUAAAUGUACUGGAAAGUGUAUUUAGAAAGA
rnacentral:rRNA from 1 species